GUAACUUCUUCUUGAGUAACAGUUGGAGUGUUGGAAAUAUUAAUGAAAAAUCUAAAAAUUAUCAAGUUAGAAAAACCUGUCAUAUCAAAUACAUUAUUGAAGUCAGGAACAUUUCCUGGAACGGUCUCUUCAUCAAAUUAUCCAACAUUUCGUCAGCUUUCUUGCCUGCAUCACUUUGAACAUCCGUAUAUCCAUUUGAUUGCUCUUCUUCGCUUGGAUUAAUCUGAAGUUGUAACCUUUCCCCCUUCUUCAACGAUUGUUGCAUGCAAGACCUGGGGAAAUGGAACAGCUGAUCAAAAGUAUACAAAUUUUAAACAACUACCGAAACAGUAUUUAGGAUGCUUGCAACAUAACAAAAGGAUACCAGAAUUCUGCCGGUUGGUUUGGUUCAACAGUUGGCGG